AAGAGAACAAAUCAGCCGGUGGAACAUCUUUGGUUAUCACAGACCUGACAGUUGUCUCUCCGGUGUUCAGUUAAUAUUGCUGUAAGGAAAACAAAUGGAGAAAAGCACUCCCUGGCUGUGGAGAGCAUGUCAGUUCAAAGCCUAGGGAUGGAACAAGUGGCUCUGGAUUUUCCUUUCAAAACUACGUCAGCUGAAUUUAUGGACUUAAGAUCACUCUAAGAAAUCUUCUUACGUCACUUCAAGCUUCGUAUUUGAUUCCAUUGUCUCAGCUCAUUAUACUGAAUUACGUGUUAUUUGGUUGUUCAGGAGACAACAAAAAAUGAGGGAUCUCUUGAACAGCGCUCUAUAAAGAGAGGUGUAUCGAAUUCUUAUAUCAACGCUGAAGUGACCACAUCUCUUUUGGUAAGACAGCAACUUGUCGUGGGACCAUCCUUCCUUAUAGCUCACUCUGUGCUGUGUUCGCUGUGGCUCCUGGUUGUGUUGCACUCCACCGCUUCUCUGCAGAAGUGCCCAUUUGUGAUUCGUUCCCUGUGCACAAGUUUCACGAGCUGCAGAGGAAGCCCUGCACAGGGAGAUGCAGAAGGGCAGUUUCAAAGUGGGAAGAAGUGCUGCAAAAGCACUUGGGUUUUGUUCAUGUACUGAGAAGGAUUCUGCAGACAGGCUGGCAACAGAGCACAUUCAGCUGGGCCUCACAGCUGGGCUGUUCCAGUACCAGCCUCUCUUGGAUUCUGAUGUGAUUUGCUCUGCCUCAACAGUAGAAGAGAUUUGGAAUCAGAAUGGAAUUGGGACACAGAGAAAAUGCCUCUUUUCAACACUUGUUAUUUCAUGACUUGGGAUUGAAAUGCUCACUGUUGUACCUGGGCAUAAUGAACAUACCAUGGUGCUUUCUGGAUUAAAAGUUGCCUAAGAGGCUCCAUCUGUACUCACUUGUACACAUCACACUUAAAAGGAGUAAAUUUUUUAGGGGGAAUGUGUUGUAAUUUUU
ensembl:lncRNA